CCUUUACACAUAUUCAUGUAUGACUUGUCUAGUAUGGUGAUAACAUUGUGUGUUCAUUGAAAGGCUAGUUCUCAUGAAAACACUAUGAAUGUAAUGUGAAAGUUCUACUCGCAUGUUAAUGACGAUUCUAAGGUUGAAAGUACAUUCUCACCCUUAAUGAAUCUAUGAGCUAUUUUUAUGAAUUUUAUUGAACGAAGGGUAGAGCAAUCCUUCACAAAUGUAAAUACAAUUUGAGACUAAUUAUGUAUAAUUUGGGAAAUAAUGCUUAGCACCGAGUGGAUAUGGAAAAAUGAGGUAAAGGCCCUUCCGCCAAUGCAAG
rnacentral:lncRNA from 1 species